rnacentral:rRNA from 1 species
GACGAACCGUGCGAACGUUGUUCGGAAUCACUGGGCUUAAAGGGCGCGUAGGCGGGCCCCCUUGUCCGGGGUGAAAGCUUUCGGCUUAACCGGAAAAGUGCCCCGGAAACGGGGGGCCUGGAGGGAGGGUAGGGCAGCCGGAACUUCCGGUGGAGCGGUGGAAAUGCGUUGAUAUCGGAAGGAAGCGCCGGUGGCGAAAGCGGGCUGCUGGACCGUCUACUGACGCUGAGGCGCGAAA